CUAUCUAUUCUAUCCAUCUAUCUGUCUAUUCACCUCUGCUUCCCCGCCCACAGAUCCGAGGUGCUGAUGGCGGGCGAGGGUGCAGACGCCCAGUGCCGCCCGCAACAUCACGUCAUGUUUCUCAAGACUCAUAAGUGCGCCUCAUCCACCGUCCAGAAUAUUUUCUUGCGUUAUGGUUACACAAACAACCUCACCUUCGCCCUUCCUGGAGGUGGAAACUACCUUGGCAAUCCUGGCCUCUUUAAGGCCGGCUUAAUCCUGAGGAACCUCUUAACGGGUGUG
rnacentral:lncRNA from 1 species